AUCCUUUUGUAGUUCAUAAGCGUGAUGACUGAGUGUUCAUGUGCGUGUGUGAGAUGUGCCUCCCUCAAGCCUUGUUAUGACGUGGGCACAUUAUCCACCUGAUG
rnacentral:snoRNA from 1 species